AGACAGAGAGAGAGACAGAGAGACAGAGAGAGAGAGAGAGACAGAGAGAGAGAGAGAGACACCAGAAGAAAAGAGACAGAUCACUUAAACCUGGUAAAGAGGGUGAUUCCAUCUCAAUAGUAUAAUGUUUAUUAUGUCUAUGUACAGGAGGUCAUAGUUCACAGAACAACCCAAUGGAAGUGGAACAACAGAAUAGAACACUUCUAUUGUGACAUCAUCGUAACAGAAUGACAGGAAGUUGAUGGAACAAUGACUAGAUAAUAAAGGGUUAAAAACAGACUGUUAAAAACUGGUAUUUAAUAUACACAAUUAGUACUCUUUAACAUGAUACACUGUAAUAAAAAUAAUAAUAAUAACAACUCAGGAUAAAUGAAUGUGUUCUCAGGAAUAUAUUACAGGAUGAUAAACUAGAUGAGAAUUCUAAAUAAAAAGGUAAAAAGCCUGGUGAUUGUUAGAAGACAAGUCAGCUUGAAACAUUGUUGAAUUGUUUUUGUAUCGAAAGAGAGAGAGAGAGAGAGGGAGGUGAGAGAGAGAGAGAGAGAGAGAGAGAGAGAGAGAGAGAGAGGUGAGAGAGAG
ensembl:lncRNA